rnacentral:rRNA from 1 species
AGAGACAGCAGUAGCCACGGGAAUACGGAGGAUCCGAGCGUUAUCCGGAUUUAUUGGGUUUAAAGGGUGCGUAGGCGGCCUUGUAAGUCAGGGGUGAAAGACGGUAGCUUAACUAUCGCAGUGCCCUUGAUACUGCAGGGCUUGAAUGUACUUGAGGUAGGCGGAAUGUGACAAGUAGCGGUGAAAUGCAUAGAUAUGUCACAGAACACCAAUUGCGAAGGCAGCUUACUAAAGUAUGAUUGACGCUGAGGCACGAAAGCGUGGGGAGCAAACAGGAUUAGAUACCCGCGUAGUCCCUGUCUCUUAUAU